GACGUAGGGCGCGAGCGUUGUCCGGAUUUAUUGGGCGUAAAGAGCUCGUAGGCGGCUUGUCGCGUCGACUGUGAAAUCCCGCGGCUUAACUGCGGGUCUGCAGUCGAUACUGGCGGGCUUGAAUCCGGGAGAGGGAUGCGGAAUUCCAGGUGUAGCGGUGAAAUGCGUAGAUAUCUGGAGGAACACCGGUGGCGAAGGCGGCAUCCUGGACCGGCAUUGACGCUGAGGCGCGAAAGCUAGGGGAGCAAACGGG
rnacentral:rRNA from 1 species